ACGUGAGAGGCAGAGACCUGACUCCACAGAGGAAACCGAGAGUGCCAUCUCCAGGAAAGCAGAUUUGCAGGUUGGAAGUUUGUUUACCAAUGUGGUGAUGUUAAGAGAAUCUGGCAGCUGGUUAUCUCCAUCAGUGGCACUCAAGUGAUGCAGACAGGAGGACCAGAGGAAACCAAGGUCAUC